rnacentral:rRNA from 1 species
GGACCCGCACAAGCGGUGGAGCAUGUGGUUUAAUUCGAUGGUACGCGCGGAACCUUACCAGCCUUUGACAUUUAUUUGAAAAGGUAAAGAGAUUUACCCCUUUUGAGCAAUCAAACAGAUAAACAGGUGUUGCAUGGCCGUCGUCAGCUCGUGUCGUGAGAUGUUGGGUUAAGUCCCGCAACGAGCGCAACCCUUUCCCCUAAUUGCCAGCACGUUAAGGUGGGAAUCUUAGGGGUACUGCCGGUGAUAAGCCGGAGGAAGGAAAGGAUGACGUCAGGUCCUCAUGGCCCUUAUAGGCUGGGCUACACAUGUGCUACAAUGGUGAUUACAAAGAGCAGCAAAGGGGCAACCUGGAGCGAAUCUCAAAAAAUCAUCUCAGUUCGGAUUGUCCUCUGCAACUCGAGGGCAUG